UACGUAGGGUGCGAGCGUUGUCCGGAAUUAUUGGGCGUAAAGAGCUUGUAGGUGGUUUGUCGCGUCUGCUGUGAAAAUCCGAGGCUCAACCUCGGACUUGCAGUGGGUACGGGCAGACUAGAGUGUGGUAGGGGAGACUGGAAUUCCUGGUGUAGCGGUGGAAUGCGCAGAUAUCAGGAGGAACACCGAUGGCGAAGGCAGGUCUCCUGGGCCAAUUACUGACA
rnacentral:rRNA from 1 species